AUAGAGGAAUGAGCGCCUUGAGUCCUGUUCUGUUUCACAGAGUUCGCUCUGAAUAACUAAUUUCAGCUGUUAUAAGAUUUCUCUUUUUUUUUCUCAGCUAAUGAGUUUCAACUGGGCAGAGCACAAGGGCAUAGUUGUGUAUGUGGCCAAUGGGGCAGGGAGCACUGAGUCAGAGGUGAAAACCCACGGUGAGACAAAGGGGCAUAGCAGCCUUGAAAGACCCACAGGCAGUUUUUGUCGCUAAGAGAAAAGAAGAGGCUGAUUUGGAGCAAAAGGGACUGGAUGGGCGGGGAUAACAGAGUGGCCAGUAAGGAACUCAUAGAGCUAAAGUAAGUGAAAAUCAGUAAUUGCGUUUUCAUAGUGUCUAAGCUCCAGGAGCCCCAGUGAAGCAGCCAAAAUAGAUUGAAUUCCUGUUGGGGGCAAGGCUUGCGAUUGAUCGUGCAGACUCAUCUGGCAAUCCUGCAUCUUAGCAGGAAUUAUUACUUUCCAAGAAAUCCUGCCUAGAAGCAGGCCUCCAUCACUUUCCUGAUGACUCAAGAAAGCAUUCUAGGCAGGAUGAAGUCAGCAGGAUGGAUCACUGCAGCACAAGCUAAAAAGAGGAGAAUAUGCGAAGGUUAUGAGUGUUCCAAAUGAUCAAUCUUCAGUCUUCUGUUUUCCUUUCUCUGGAAUUUAUUGGGCCACAAAUGUUGAAUGGUGGCCACCAAAAGGAUAUGUCCACAUCCUAAAACCCAGAACCUAUUAAUGUGACCUUAUUUGGAAAUAGUCUUUGCAGAUAUAAUUAACGAUCUUGAGAUGAGAUCAUCUUGGAUUAUCUAGGUGGGCCCUAAAUCCAAUGACAAGGGUCUUUAUAAGAGGCAGAAGAGAAGACAAAGACACAGAGGAGAGGGCCGUGUGAAAAUUGAGAGCAGAGAUUGGAGUGAUGCUAGGAAAUACCAGGAGCCACUAGGAGCUGGAAGACGAAAGAUUCUCCCCUUGAGGCGUCAAAAGAAACAGCCCUACCAACGCCUUGAUUUUGGACUCUGGCCUCCAGACCUGCGAGAGAAUACAUUUCCGUUCUUUUAAGCCACCAAGUUUGUGGUAAAUUGUUAAUGGCAGCCCUAGGAAACUGAUACGUGGCCAUUUACAGAAAAUGUUU
rnacentral:lncRNA from 1 species